UGGGGAAUAUUGGACAAUGGGCGAAAGCCUGAUCCAGCCAUGCCGCGUGUGUGAAGAAGGUCUUCGGAUUGUAAAGCACUUUAAGUUGGGAGGAAGGGCAGUAAGCGAAUACCUUGCUGUUUUGACGUUACCGACAGAAUAAGCACCGGCUAACUCUGUGCCAGCAGCCGCGGUAAUACAGAGGGUGCAAGCGUUAAUCGGAAUUACUGGGCGUAAAGCGCGCGUAGGCGGCUAAUUGAGUCGGAUGUGAAAUCCCCGAGCUUAACUUGGGAAUUGCAUUCGAUACUGGUUAGCUAGAGUGUGGGAGAGGAUGGUAGAAUUCCAGGUGUAGCGGUGAAAUGCGUAGAGAUCUGGAGGAAUACCGAUGGCGAAGGCAGCAAUCUGGCCUAACACUGACGCUGAGGUACGAAAGCAUGGGGAGCAAACAGG
rnacentral:rRNA from 1 species